ensembl:lncRNA
CAGAACCAUAAACUAAGCAUAUGGCCUGUGAAGUUGGCCCUCAUGAUUGGGUCACUUUGGUAAUGAUGAAAAUUGGCUGAACAUAUUACCUUCUUCUCUUUGGUAUAGAUCCUUUCUUGUAUUAUUCACCACUUUGGAAGACACAGAGAUAUUGACUCUUUGGCUGGUGACCAUAGAUCUGAAGAUCUCUUAGGACCUGUGUUCCGUUGAGCACAUUCUGGAAAAUGCUGUCUUAGGAGGCCCAGGAGCUCAUCUCUUUGACAGUGGGUAACUCCUAACAAAUAGAAAAAUGGAAGAAGAUCCCUCCAAAGAGGACUUGUGGUGGAGUGGAUAGGUACUGACUUCAGAGGCAGUCAAACCUGGGACAAUACCCAGAUUCUACCUUUAAUAUGUCUGUGAUUUGGGGCAAGUUAGGUAAACUCUGGAUCUCAGUGUACU